AUUCAUGAGAAUUCACACCUCGUAAAAGGUCCCUCGGAAAUUUGCUACAGAAUUGACGGGACUUUGCGAGCAGAUAGGAGAACGUCGCUAAUUCUUUGCAAAUUUUGCGAGGAAUAUAUCCCUCGCAAAAUUUUCUUCUUCCUCUUCAUUUUCUUCUUCUCUAGUAGAACUGGCAGAAACUCUUUCGAUCGCUAAAUAGUCCUCCAUCUUCUAACUUUGUACCUAAGAUCUUUACAAUUUUCAUAGACAAGUCCUAUUUUCGCACC
rnacentral:sRNA from 1 species